ensembl:lncRNA
CUUUCUUAAGUAAAGUUCCAUAACAGUUUGUAUAUUGUAAUUGAGAAAGUGAUUACCUUGAAAGUUGGGAGGCAGAUUUGUUGACCACGACAGUUACUUCGUUUUGGUGUACAGUAAUUGGGAAAGUAAUUACCUUGCAAAGCUGGGAGGCAGUGUUGUUGCUGAGACGCUGGUCAAAUGCCAGCAGCAAGCAAACCCAGAUGUUCACAGCUCACAGUUACCACCUCAAACUUUUCAAACAAAUCUUACAAGAACAUUUGGCAAAGUGAUUGGCUUGCAAACUUAGGAGACAGUCUAGUUGCCCACAACAGUUUUGUUAUAGAGUAAUUGGAAAAUUGGGUACCUUGCAAGGCUGACAGGCAGUCUCGUUGCUGGGAGGCGGUCUUGUUGCUGGGGCUGUGGCAGAAUGCCAGCAGCAAGCAGACCCAGAUGUUCACAGUCCUACUUAACACCUUAAACUUUGCAAACAAAUCUCACAGAACAAUUAGCAAACUGAUUGGCUUGUAACACUGAAAUGUAGCCUUGUACUGUCUGGUUUAAAUUUCCUACUGAGAAACAAAGAGGAACUUUACUGUUUGGAAGGGAGUAAAAACACUGUACCAUCUAAUCUUAAAAGUUUUAAUUACAAACAACAGCUCUGGAAUAAAAUGACAUCCAACGCUAAACACACCUAUUUUUUUCUAAAUAUCAGCUGAACACAUACAUAGAAAAUAUAAGGGGGGGGGGGGGCACUUACCUUGGCUGAAUCAAGAGUUGAGGUAUAAAAGUCUGCUGUAGUUAACGCCUUAUAAAGACAGACAAAGAGGUGUGAAACGCGACUACAACACAUCUUAAAAGUUUCAAUUACAAACGAUACCACUGGAAUAAAAUCACAGUCAUUUCGUAGAUAUCAGCGUCAAAACACAGAAAAGCAGUUUCAAAGGUCAAUUUCAAAACCGGAGCAGGGACAGAAACGCUUGCCGUAGCUGAAUGUGCGCUAACUGGCUUUAGCAUCGUGCCGAACGUGCCGAAACAAAGAAAUCGAUAAAGAAACACAUAAAAAAAAUCACUUUCAAAGCUAAAUUUCAAACCAGAGAGAGAUACGCUUACCUUGUCAUAGUAAAUCACUUUCAAAAUCAAUUUCAAACCGGGAGACGCUUAAUAUCCGCUAACUAGCCAGCAACAAAAUACCACGAGACAAAGAGAGGUGUGAAACCCGACUGCAAUGAAGAUAUUUUUUGAGAGUCGCAUCUUAAAAGUUUCAAUUACAAACGAUACCAGUGGAAUGAAAUCACAGUCAUUUUGUAGAUAUCAGCGUCAAAACACAGAAAAGCAGUUUCAAAGGUCAAUUUCAAAACAGGAGCAGGGACAGAAACGCUUGCCGUAGCUGAAUGUGCGCUAACUGGCUUUAGCAUCGUGCCGAACGUGCCGAA